rnacentral:snRNA from 1 species
GAGCUUGCUUCGGCAGCACAUAUACUAAUAUUGGAAUGAUACAGAGAAGAUUAGCAUGGCCCCUGUGCAAGGAUGACAUGCAAAUUUGUGAAGCGUUCCAUAUUUUU